GUUCAAGGCCCCAUCAUUAUCUUUCCCACCAGCUUGAGAGGUUUUUUCAAAACUAGCACAUGGAAGGAAAAUUAUAUCCAAAUAAUCACGGCUAAUGCACAGUUUGGUCGGAUAUGCAGGUUUAACUUGCGAAGUCCACUUUAGACAUGCAGGUCCGAUUUGUGCUUCUAGGAUUUUAUGUUUUUUUUGUCUAUCACGUGUGAUACAAGCGCAAGACAUGACCGAUCUAUAUCACACGCACAAAUCAUGAUUUUUUUCUUGAGCUGCAUGUGCCAACAAGGGAAAAAACUCGCAAUGGAUGCACAAAGAAUGGAGAGUGGAGAAGAAACGACAUAGCAUAGAUACGAGGGAGGGAGGGGGAGGGAGAGGGAUGCUUGCUUGUUCACUGGCUUGGUGAGUGGUGAGAGAUCUUGGAAGAGAAACCAAACCAAACCAAAUUGGUGUUCAUAGAAUGUUACCUGUGGUGGCUCCUCGUCGAGGAAGGAGGUUGGGUCGGAUUUGCAGACCAGCACUCAGUUUCAGGUUGUGGCUCUUGCUGCUUGCUCUGCUCCGCUUAUUCUCUUUUGCACCGUUUGGCCUCAAAUUCGUUAUACUUGUUGGUCAUGAUAAGCCCCUUUCUCUCCCCUUCCCUUGGUGAUAAUACUACCGUGACUGCAUAUUUUUUCCAUUUAAACCUUCCUUCCUUCCUGGGCUGGCUGGGUUUGUAGGUGGUAGCAUGGAAAGCGGCAUCUCAUCUUCACACCAACUUCAUUUCACGGGUAAUAUCGAAAGAUUUAACAAGGAAGUAGAGCAACAACAACUGCAACACUCUGGAUAUGGUGGCGAUGCAAUUAAAGCACCAGGAAGAAAGCACCGUUGGCAGCAUUUAGGAUGAGCAAACACUGUCCAAAUUGGCUUCAGACGGACAUGUUCUAGAUAAUAGUGGAUUAGUUGGUCUAUGGAAAAUAGUCAUUGCCAGGAACUUACCCUACAAGGACAUGCGGAGAACUGGCAAGGUGCCGAAUUUUUUAUCACACCGCAUCUUUCCUUCUUCUAGCUACUCGAUUUGGCUUGACAGGAAGAUGCGACUUAAUGCUGAUCCCAUGCUGAUAAUUGAUUACUUUUUGUGGCGAACAAGAUCAGAAUAUGCCAUUUCAAACCAUUAUGAUUGUCACUGUGUUUGGGAGGAGCUACUCCAAAAUAAGCACCUAAAUAAGUACAGUCAAACGGCCAUUGAUAAACAGUUUAAUUUUCACCAGCCUGAUGGCCUCAGCAAGUUUGAUCCUUCAGAUCUUAAUACUCCUCUACCAAGUUGUAUGUGUCUUGGUUUCUAUUCUGGUUUUCAAGAUUGAGUUUCCCUUUAUUAUACAGCCUCUUCAAUCCACUUUUGUUUUUUUUUUUUUCCUGAAAUUCAACCCAGCUGUUGGUUCUUAUACUUUGCGGAUGUGCUUGAAGGAUUGUGAAUGCCGAGCACUAGCAAAGCUGUUCUGGCAUCGGGUAUUCCCAUCACCCCCACCUGUUCCUUGAUAAAUUGAGAUUUUUUUUUUUCAAGUUAUGGCUUGCCUGGUAAGAUAAAAGAUAACCUAUCCAGCUCCCUCACCUCUUCUUUUCUUUCUCAGUGUUUCCAGUUGAUUGCUUUACUUGGAUUUCCUUAAAUGCCAAAAAAGGCAUAGAAGUUAUUUUCUAGUUUCCUUACUUGCAAUCAAGACACCCUUGUAAAGGAGCAUCUGAUACAGAUUUGGCUUGAGGACUAACUGCACACUGCUUUCACUUGCAGAAACCUUAGUACCAUCUUCAGAACUUGAUUAUCAAAUCAGUGGAUGGUUAUGCUCAAUUGUUGAUACAACUUUGAACUGAUAUUUUAUAAUAGGACUUUAAACGAUUAAGAAAUCCAUUCAAUAGUAGCAAAGAGAGAUUCCAGGGAUUUUUUAUAUUAAUUUUGAACCUGUUGUAUUGGUCUAGUGGUGGAUCCUGAUAUUUGAAUUGCAUGUAUAGUGACAGAACCUGUGCCACUUGCUGUAAUGUGAUUAAUUGAGUCCAGUUCAUAGUGUAAAUUAAUAGAUCAGACAACUGUAAACUUCUCACUUGAGUGUCAUUAGAUUUGAUGACAUAGUUGUUAGAUACAAUCACCUGAUUUUCCAAUCAAACUUAUCUAGUGGGUCUGGUUGUUGUCUUAGCAGUGCUUUUCUUCUUCCUUUUCUUGUUGGCUUGGGGAAAGAGAGGCUGCGUCUAACACCCUAACUCUCAUUCCUAAGAAUUUAUGUGCAAUUACUGUUCAGGCAUAAAUUUAAUUUUUGAUCAGGUGCAUCGGUCUUAUAAGCUUCUUUGAAAAUCCAAUCUUGUGAAUCUCCAGCUGAGAUAACUGAAAAAAUAUGGAUUACAGUUGUUAAAAACAUGGAUAGGUUUUUGGUCAUGCAAUCUUUUGAUUUAAUUGGUUAUUCAUUUGGUUUCUUAAGCACAAGAAAAAAUCGAUGCCAUCGUCAAGCUAUAGCUGGAAUUGUCUGACUGUAACAGGAUGAAAUCACAGGUCUGGGACUCUCCUAAUUGAAGUAUCAACGUUUUUAAAGUUGAAUUGGAAUUGAGUUUGCACUCAUCAGUAAUGGUGAUAUUUGAAAUCUCUUGUGACAAAACUAUUACAUACUAUUUUACAUGGAUUUUUUUGGCUGUUGUUUAAAUAAUGUGAACUUAAGAUGUCUGCUUUGUUGCUGCAAAAAAAGUCUUUUGUACAUAUCAACUUCUGAUUACUUGAUUAUUUGUUACAACUUAUCAAGGUGGAUGGUAGUGUAUGCAUUCCAUGUUUGCUUACAAUGUAUCAAGGUGGAUGACCAAGUGUAUGCUCCUCUGGGAAUGAAGCUUUGACAUAAAACUACUUGAUAGGUCCAUGAUAGUUGUUUACAGAAUCUGAAUAAGUUUUUGAUGGAUCUUUAUGGUUUGUGCAGGGACAUUCACUGAUGGGAAAAAAGAUAAAAAAAACAAAAAGGUUUCUGUGUGAUCGUCUCCAGCUGUUUCAAGAAUCUAAUAGAUGAUCAGCUGCCUUGUGAAUUAUGGCAGAUUUGUUAUGUUUUGCACAGUAGCUGAUGGCGACGACUUUGGAUGUCUGAUGUAUUUGGCUUGGUAAUCUUUGACAAAGAGGUGAUACUAAUCUCUCCUUACUAAAUGGUCUAAGGGGCUUUGCCAGUCAGUUCAGCUAAAGAAUUUGGUAAUUGGAUGAUGGUUAGUGAAAUUGGCAUGUGACAUUGCAUUGCAUUGCUGAAAUAAUUGUGGGUUUUGAGUUUCAACCACUACCAACUGAAGGGGGAAAGAGGGAGAGGGGCUGCUACAGUGGCAUCAGCCAAUGCUCUAGCGGUUUAACCAAAAUUGCAUUUAUUGAUGUCGGUAUUCUAAACUUACCCAGAGGGAAAUAGCAUUGCUUUUCCAAGAGUAUUUGUUAGGUUUUCCCCUUUGAAUAAUGGUGGCGAGGAAGCUGCUUAGUGCUAAACACGUCUUUUUUCUCUCUCGAUUUUUACCUUCGAUCUUUUCCUGUAGCGUAGUGGUUCUUCAACUGUUCAAGAGGGUGCUGAUCGAGAUUUUGUUUUGACAUUUUUCUUUAAAGUAUCACCAAGCUGUUCUCAGAACUGUGAUCAUCGUGCAGGCUCGUCUUGGAAGAUUGUUAUCUCUACUACUCACGGUCUGAUUUUUGCUCUCUUUUUUACAAAUAAGCAACACUUUCCUACUAGGUAACUUUUAUUUGAAAUUAUAAUUUCAAUUGCAACUGUAAAGCAAACUCGUAAGAAGUUCACUUGGGUCUGGUUGUUCUAUCAUCCCUCGUGUUUUUAUUUUUUGGUCAGACAAUGUGGAAAGCACCAUAUCAAACUUUUGUGCUCUGAUGCUUCUCAUGAAUUGCGCGAGUCCCUUGGUUAUUUUUAUUUGUUUUGUUGUGCGUGAUGAGGGCCGAAGACCCGUGCCGAGGAGGACAUCGAAAACGAGCCUGUUGCGUCUCCCUUGGUUUAUGGCGUUGAUUGCUGUCAGGUUCCCUGCUUCGAGGGGCGGCUUAUGAAUCUGACCCCUAAUUGGCUAUCCGCCAUCCUUUCCUCUUUUCUUGCACACAUUUUCCCCCGUAGAGUUGAAAAGUAUAUCAGGAGGCUAUAU